UACGUAGGUGGCAAGCGUUAUCCGGAAUUAUUGGGUGUAAAGGGUGCGUAGGCGGGAUGUAAAGUCAGAUGUGAAAUACGUGGGCUCAACCCACGAACUGCAUUUGAAACUUACGUUCUUGAGUCAAGUAGAGGCAAGCGGAAUUCCCAGUGUAGCGGUGAAAUGCGUAGAUAUUGGGAGGAACACCAGUGGCGAAGGCGGCUUGCUGGGCUUGAACUGACGCUGAGGCACGAAAGUGUGGGGAGCAA
rnacentral:rRNA from 1 species